CUUCAUCCAUUAAAGAGUAAUGGAAAUUCACACCCAAGAAAAUUGCUUAAUGGUGCUGGUUUGAAUCUGUCUACUCAAUCAUCAGACCAUAGCAAUGGUGAGAGCAUGGACCUUUCUCCUGUCUCCCACAAGCGGAAAAAAGAUUAUUUGCCACUUGGAAAUGAUGAUGAAUGUUUGGCUAACAAUUCUCAUGGUGACAGAGUUGAUAUGAAUAUCCAUCCAGUUGAGCCAGCAUGGAUAAAUGAGUUCAGUGGAGUAUUGAAGAAUGUAUAUGGGCCCGUUACAGCAGCAAAAACAAUAUAUGAAGA
rnacentral:misc_RNA from 1 species